CACCCCCAACCUCUGACCUACCUCUCCCAACUCCCAAGCCCUCCCUCUCUCCCUGUGCCGCCGCCCAUCGAGCUACUACAUACGGAUCAGCCGGCCACCACAGACCUCCCUCCCCAGCCGGCCGCCACGGCACCACCACCUCCUCCCCCCAGCAAUCAUGCACAUCGGGAGGCGACCAUGCGCCUGGCCUAGCUGGGUCUCAGCCUCCCUCCUCCCUUCGACCAAGGCCAGGAGCUCCCCUCCCCGACCGAUCUGACGGAGAAAGGGCUAGGCCUUGCCACUCUGGUGGUCGCUGUGGCCAGAUCCGGCCGGCGGAUCCGUCGUAGAGCCGACAGAAGGUGGGCGCUCGAGCUCAUCCAGCAGCUCGUCGUCGACCAGGAGGCCUCUACCUCGACUGCAUCAGCCCGUGGUCGUCCCCCCUCCAUCCACGUUGUCGUUCCUCUUCUCUUCCUCACCAGAUUGGCGGGAGCAACCUGUGCAGGACGACGAGCCAUGGACAGCCAGCACCCAGUCGAGCACCACCACACCCUCAGAAAAUUCAUGGCAACCAGGAGUCCAGGAGUAACAAUAUUUUUUAUUAAUUGGGGAUACGGUGAUGUUCAGGUGAUGUGGAACAUGCUGAGAUUUGGACUUCAAUCCUUGAUUGUGCACGGUUAUGCAUACUUCAUACCCAUGCUGCAAGCAAAUUUUCAUUUUCGAAGAGAGUAAUAAUACUAUAACUACAAAAUUCAUGUUGCAGAUUUAUGCUCCAUGUAGUAUAUUAUACUGGUCCAUUAUAGCUUUAUUCAGUUCACCAUUUGCACGAUCAUAUUCUGGAGCUUGAAAUGUACUCCCUUUUUCUGUAGGGAUUUCUGAACCGAGUAGAAUAUUAAUAACUUCUACGAAAUCAAAGAUCUCUGAGCUUUUAGAGUAUGCACCAUAUUGAUUUACUUAUCGGUUUAUUCACACAUAUAUUGAGUUCAUGAUGGAAAUAUAUACGAGUAUUCUCAAGGUAUGGAAUGUUUUUAAUUACUACCAGAUAGAAUUUGGGAAUUAGUCUUACAAAGCUUCCAAAAUCAGUGAAGUUAUACAGCUACUACAGAACUGGUUAAAAUCAGUGAUCUUCUACAAUAUCUACAUGACUGAUUACAACACUGCUCAUGUGAUUUGGUACUUUACUAUAUGGACGCUUGUUUUACCCCUGAGGCGAGCUAAUGAUUGGGAACUUAUAGUGCCAAACUGACCUGCAUAUUCUGUCAACCAUUUCGUUGUAGUAUUUAGGAUCAGCAUGUAAGCUUAAUUUGUCUCCUGAUGUUGUUUAAUUGUGUGCCUUAAAACUAUCUGUAGUAGCAUACCUUGUUUUCAACAUCAUUGGGGUCUUCGAUAGCUUGUUUAGAAUGCUAAACUGAAGAGUUGAAGUACUGAACAAAUCGAUACAGAGGUCAAUAAAAAGUGUUUAGGAGGAAUUUUUGGUCUGCAGUCUGUACUAAUAAAAUCUUGUGGUCAUUCGUUUUGACCUGAUCCAAGGUAAGGCCUAUCAGUGCUAACUUCCAGGCUGUAGAAACUGAAUUAUGUUUAUUGUAUUCCUGGACGCCAUACUGAUGGGAGGUAUACGAUAGUGGAGAAGCAACAUUCACUCUGUUUCUGUCAUGCAUGUAUGCACUUUCUUCAUCAUUCUCUGCAUCAUUCAUAAAUUCUGCACAUAUAAACAAUGAAUAUGUGUGAUAAAUUUUCUCUUUAUAGUAACGGAACUUUCGUGCGCAUGACACUCAUGUGUCUGAUUUCUAUCCAAUAAUUGAUCCAGUGGGGUGCUGUCAUUUUGUUCUAAGUAAUGGAUGGCUGGAUGUGUACCAUCGGACACUAAUCGGACAAAGAGCAUCGUCUGUGUAGCAACGCUCCUAUGGUAAAGAAACCUAUGUGGCAGUGACCACAUAUUGAACCUUGUAUUGGAUGAUGACACCUUAGGAAUAUAUGCUUUCUUCUUUCUUUGUAUUUUCUUCCAAGAGGUUUAGUCUAUCGCAAACUUCUUAUUCCUUAUAUUAUUUUUAAGGCUCUAAAAGCCACAGAGACAAGUGCAUCACGUCAAAGCAAUGAAGGUUAGCAAGUGAGAUGAAGCAUAUAAGAAUUCAUGCUACAACUGAAUUUUACUGGAUUAUUAUCACCUUCAAUCGUUCUUCCAAUUUGUUUUAUAAUCCCAGUGUAAUGAAUGGUGAGUCCAAGAAGAAGCAUCAUAAUUCCAAUGCUAAGAUGAUUCAAGCUUGAGUGAUACUCUUUAUGUCUAUUCUAAUAGCAUCAAACUUAUUCUUCUUCUUUUUUCUUUUUUAACAAACAUUGAUGUGCAGCACCCGCCAUAGACGGCCAUGUGAUGACAGUGCUUGGUUAGCAAUGCACUAGAAAGGAGUGACAUGCCUGAAUAGACUGAGCAACUUGGUUAGCAUUCAUGUGAACCCUAUUGAAGACUGUUGUGUUCCUGCUCUUCUACACUAUCAUGGGAGAUGAUGUACUAGCAUGUUGUCAACGUGAAGCGGGAGCUCCUGCAGAGGAGCAGCCAAAGCAUGUCACAGAUGUUCUCAUGUGGUUGCACCAGCAGUAUCUAUGCCAGCAACACAUCAAGAAGAGCGAGAGCUAUGGGAAACCAAUCAACAUGGGAGGUAGAUUCUCUUCAGUGCUAGGCCACCGUUACACUGCGGAGAGUCCUAGAGGGAUCAAAACACAUACAAUUAGAAAGGAGAUGACAAGCCUGAAAAUAUAAGAAUUGAAGCAUUAUAUCUCUUUUCUUGUAUCUAUUUGUCUCUUUUGAAUUAUCCCAAUGUUUUGCAAUUUAGUUUUUCUGUAAAUCUAAUAUUGUAAUACUCCUUAUACCUUAGUAAUGCAUAGGUGUAGUAAUACUACAAUUUUGAAGGAUCUGUCCUUCUUGUAUAUCUUCCAUCUUUUUGUGUAUAUUUUUGUCAGUUGCAAAUUUUACACCAAGAAGUGGGAUCUCUCAGGAAAGUAUCCUUGUUUUUAUGCUUUUUAUUCUUUGGGAUUUCUCUCUGGAUCAUUAGUUGGCUUGCACAAUGGUAAGUAUUUGGGUGAUGCUUUUGCUGCUGCUCCACUACUAUAGCAAUGAGUUGUGUUCCUUGUGUACAUUAAUAAUGGUCAAAAUACUAUCGGCUAAAUCUGUUUUCACUAAAUUAUUAGAUUUGUGUGUAUCAUUUUGCACAACAGAAUAUUUAGAGUAAUAUGCAUGCUGCUACAAGUAAUAUUUAGAGUAAUAUGCAUGCCACAACAGUCAUGUACUCAAUCAAGUACUAUGCACUAGAAGCUGUGAAAAAACAUUAUGUGAGCAAACUUUAGUAACCUUAUAUUUGUAUGCAUGUUACAAACAAGAUUACAAUUUUUAUCUUGAAGCCGUAAAUGAUUUUAGCUACAUCCAUUUUCAGUAUGAUCACACCUUGAUGGCACUGAAAAUUCUUCUGUUAUUGGCUUAUUGCAGGUUUAACUCGAGUCUCCACUCUGUAGGCAUGAUUAAGUACAUGGUCAAACUACUGCCAUGAGAUUUGCGGCAUGGGUGGUCAAAUCAUCGCCUCAGAUUUGCGAUGGCCUGACUUUUGUAUUGCGAUUUCCUUUGGUGCCCACAGACACUGGAUAACUCUCAGAAUGUGUGAUGUAACGAGUAGUACAUCGUUUGUAAGUUUCCAUAAGUGUGAGCUCUGUUCUACUUUUAGUAUUUUCAUUUUUGUAUUGAGGCAAGUAUAAACUCUUUGAUUCCUGAUAACUAA